GACGUAGGGCGCGAGCGUUGUCCGGAUUUAUUGGGCGUAAAGAGCUCGUAGGCGGCUUGUCGCGUCGUUCGUGAAAACUCACAGCUCAACUGUGAGCUUGCGGUCGAUACGGGCAGGCUGGAGUUCGGUAGGGGAGACUGGAAUUCCUGGUGUAGCGGUGAAAUGCGCAGAUAUCGAGAGGAACACCAGAGGUGAAGACGGGUUGCUGGGCCGACACUGACGCUGACAGCGCGAAAGCCAGGGGAGCAAACGGG
rnacentral:rRNA from 1 species